rnacentral:rRNA from 1 species
CAGUCGCCGCGGUAAUACGUAGGUGGCAAGCGUUGUCCGGAAUUAUUGGGCGUAAAGGGCUCGCAGGCGGUUUCUUAAGUCUGAUGUGAAAGCCCCCGGGUCAACCGGGGAGGGUCAUUGGAAACUGGGAAACUUGAGUGCAGAAGAGGAGAGUGGAAUUCCACGUGUAGCGGUGAAAUGCGUAGAGAUGUGGAGGAACACCAGUGGCGAAGGCGACUCUCUGGUCUGUAACUGACGCUGAGGAGCGAAAGCGUGGGGAGCGAACAGGAUUAGAUACCCGCGUAGUCCCUGUCUCUUAUAU